rnacentral:rRNA from 1 species
AUGCCGCGUGUGUGAAGAAGGCCUUCGGGUUGUAAAGCACUUUCAGUCAGGAGGAAAGGUUAGUAGUUAAUACCUGCUAGCUGUGACGUUACUGACAGAAGAAGCACCGGCUAACUCCGUGCCAGCAGCCGCGGUAAUACGGAGGGUGCGAGCGUUAAUCGGAAUUACUGGGCGUAAAGCGUACGCAGGCGGUUUGUUAAGCGAGAUGUGAAAGCCCCGGGCUCAACCUGGGAACUGCAUUUCGAACUGGCAAACUAGAGUGUGAUAGAGGGUGGUAGAAUUUCAGGUGUAGCGGUGAAAUGCGUAGAGAUCUGAAGGAAUACCGAUGGCGAAGGCAGCCACCUGGGUCAACACUGACGCUCAUGUACGAAAGCGUGGGGAGCAAACAGGAUUAGAUACCCUGGUAGUCCACGCCGUAAACGAUGUCUACUAGAAGCUCGGAACCUCGGUUCUGUUUUUCAAAGCUAACGCAUUAAGUAGACCGCCUGGGGAGUACGGCCGCAAGGUUAAAACUCAAAUGAAUUGACGGGGGCCCGCACAAGCGGUGGAGCAUGUGGUUUAAUUCGAUGCAACGCGAAGAACCUUACCUACACUUGACAUACAGAGAACUUACCAGAGAUGGUUGGGUGCCUUCGGGAACUCUGAUACAG